rnacentral:rRNA from 1 species
GACGAAGGAUGCAAGCGUUAUCCGGAUUCAUUGGGUUUAAAGGGUGCGUAGGCGGCCCGGUAAGUCAGUGGUGAAAGCCUGUUGCUUAACAACAGAACUGCCAUUGAUACUGCUGGGCUUGAGUACAGAUGCUGUGGGCGGAAUAUGACAUGUAGUGGUGAAAUACAUAGAGAUGUCAUAGAACACCGAUUGCGAAGGCAGCUCACAAAACUGUAACUGACGCUCAUGCACGAAAGCGUGGGGAGCAAACAGG